CUCAUUUUUCUUUCACUGACUGGAGGCAGAUGAUGAAUUUGAAGCCCUGACAAAGAGAAGGCAAAAUCAGUUUGUGUCCCUGAGUUGCUAAGUGGAGAAGAAACGUCCACCAACCAGGAAACACCUGCCUCCAACUGUUAAUAGGUCUGUGAAAUGUGCUUUGUUUCUGGUCAGCAUGGACACCCGCUUUAAUAGUGGCUUCAGAUGAGGCACCUUGUGACAGAGGAGCUCUUCCCCUGCAGCAACCUUGAAGAUGUUGUGGAAGACAAUAGCCAUUCUUACUUCACUCUGAGGAUCACGAUGGCGUGCAAGGGUGUGCCAAGCACAUUGCUAUCUUUGGCCAUUCUCUCUCACAUUAGUACACCUGGAUGUGAAUGGCACGUUAUCUAUGUAAGCAGUGAUGGUCUCUAUCUGGUGGUAGAAAUGACAGAAUUACACACAAUCAGGACAGCUGAGAUUCCAUUUACUAGCUCAGUAAUCAGAGAAUAUGUAUGACAUCCCAGCAAA
rnacentral:lncRNA from 1 species